GACGAACGCUGGCGGCGUGCUUAACACAUGCAAGUCGAACGGUGAAGCGCCUUCCUUUUUGGUGGGUGUGGAUGAGUGGCGAACGGGUGAGUAACACGUGAGUAACCUGCCCCCUUCUUCUGGAUAACCGCAUGAAAGUGUGGCUAAUACGGGAUAUUCUGGGUCUGUCGCAUGAUGGGUCUGGGAAAGAUAUUGUUUCGGUGGGGGAUGGGCUCGCGGCCUAUCAGCUUGUUGGUGGGGUGAUGGCCUACCAAGGUGGUGACGGGUAGCCGGCCUGAGAGGGUGGACGGUCGCACUGGGACUGAGACACGGCCCAGACUCCUACGGGAGGCAGCAGUGGGGAAUAUUGCACAAUGGGCGCAAGCCUGAUGCAGCGACGCCGCGUGAGGGAUGGAGGCCUUCGGGUUGUGAACCUCUUUCGCCAGUGAAGCAGGCCUGCCUCGUUUGUGGGUGGGUUGACGGUAGCUGGAUAAGAAGCUCCGGCUAACUACGUG
rnacentral:rRNA from 1 species